rnacentral:rRNA from 1 species
UACGUAGGGUGCAAGCGUUAAUCGGAAUUACUGGGCGUAAAGCGUGCGCAGGCGGUGAUGUAAGACAGAUGUGAAAUCCCCGGGCUCAACCUGGGACCUGCAUUUGUGACUGCAUCGCUAGAGUACGGUAGAGGGGGAUGGAAUUCCGCGUGUAGCAGUGAAAUGCGUAGAUAUGCGGAGGAACACCGAUGGCGAAGGCAAUCCCCUGGACCUGUACUGACGCUCAUGCACGAAAGCGUGGGGAGCAAACAGG